UGGGGGAUAUUGCACAAUGGGCGAAAGACUGAUGCAGCGACGCCGCGUGGGGGAUGAAGGCUUUCGGGUAGUAAACCUCUUUCGCUAACGAACAAGGCCCGCUUAGGGUGGGUUGAGGGUAGGUGGAGAAGAAGCGCCGGCUAACUACGUGCCAGCAGCCGCGGUAAUACGUAGGGCGCGAGCGUUGUCCGGAAUUAUUGGGCGUAAAGGGCUUGUAGGCGGCUUGUUGCGCCUGCUGUGAAAACGCGGGGCUUAACUUCGGGGGAGAGGUGGGUAAGGGCAGGCUUGAGUGUGGUAGGGGGGACUGGAAUUCCAGGUGUAGCGGUGGAAUGCGCAGAUAUCUGGAGGAACACCGAUGGCGAAGGAAGGUGACUGGGCAAUUACUGACGCUGAGGAGCGAAAGCAUGGGUAGCGAACAGG
rnacentral:rRNA from 1 species